rnacentral:rRNA from 1 species
AGGUCCAGCCUGCCCAGUGACAUAGUUAAACGGCCGCGGUACCCUAACCGUGCGAAGGUAGCGCAAUCACUUGUUCUUUAAAUGAGGACUAGUAUGAAUGGCAUCACGAAGGCUACACUGUCUCCCCCCUCCAAUCAGUGAAACUGAUCUCCCCGUGAAGAAGCGGGGAUAAAACCAUAAGACGAGAAGACCCCAUGGAGCUUAAAACUCAGUUUCACCUGCACACCAAUAUAUCACACCAACCCUGCAGACCUGACUACUANUUUUCGGUUGGGGUGACCGCGGAGCAAAACAAAACCUCCACGACGAAAGGACAUCUCCCUAAUCCAAGAGCAACAACUCUAAGAAUCAAAAAAUUGACGUUGCUUGAUCCAAAUUUAUUUGAUCAACGAACCAAGUUACCCUGGGGAUAACAGCGCAAUCCAUUUCAAGAGCUCCUAUCGACAAAUGGGUUUACGACCUCAUGUUGGAUCAGG